rnacentral:rRNA from 1 species
AGAGUUUGAUUCUGGCUCAGGGUGAACGCUGGCGGCGUGCCUAACACAUGCAAGUCGAGCGGGUACCCGCAAGGGUACCAGCGGCGCACGGGUGAGUAACACGUGGGUAAUCUACCCCUCGGAGGGGGAUAACCGGGGGAAACUCCGGCUAAUACCCCAUACGAUCCAACAACACAAGUUGUUGGAUGAAAGGAGCGUUUGCUCCGCCGAGGGAUGAGCCCGCGGCCCAUCAGGUAGUUGGUGGGGUAAUGGCCCACCAAGCCUACGACGGGUAGCCGGCCUGAGAGGGUGGUCGGCCACAAGGGCACUGAGACACGGGCCCUACUCCUACGGGAGGCAGCAGUGGGGAAUCUUGGACAAUGGGCGAAAGCCUGAUCCAGCGACGCCGCGUGGGGGAUGAAGCCCUUCGGGGUGUAAACCCCUGUUGCGAGGGAGGAAUAAGGCCUGGAGGAAAUGCCAGGCCGAUGACUGUACCUCGCGAGGAAGCCCCGGCUAACUACGUGCCAGCAGCCGCGGUAAUACGUAGGGGGCGAGCGUUACCCGGAUUCACUGGGCGUAAAGCGGGUGUAGGCGGCUCGGUAAGUCGGGUGUGAAAUCCCACAGCUCAACUGUGGAAUUGCGCCCGAAACUGCUGAGCUUGGGGCCGGUAGAGGGAGACGGAACUGCCGGUGUAGGGGUGAAAUCCGUAGAUAUCGGCAGGAACGCCGGUGGGGAAGCCGGUCUCCUGGGCCGCGCCCGACGCUGAGACCCGAAAGCUAGGGGAGCAAACCGGAUUAGAUACCCUGGUAGUC